UACGUGAGCAGCGAGCGUUGUUCGGAGUUACUGGGCGUAAAGGGUGUGUAGGCGGUUCUUUAAGUUUGGUGUGAAAUCUCCCGGGCUACAACCGGGAGGGUGCGCCGAAUAACUGAGGAACUAGAGUACGGGAGAGGAAAGUGGAAUUCCUGGUGUAGCGGUGAAAUGCGUAGAUAUCAGGAGGAACACCGGUGGUGUAGACGGCUUUCUGGACCGUAACUGACGCUGAGACACGAAAGCGUGGGUAGCAAACAGG
rnacentral:rRNA from 1 species